AAUGAACGCUGGCGGCAGGCCUAACACAUGCAAGUCGAACGGAUCCUUCGGGAUUAGUGGCGGACGGGUGAGUAACGCGUGGGAACAUACCCAAAGGUACGGAAUAGCCUCGGGAAACUGGGAGUAAUACCGUAUGUGCUCGAAAGAGGAAAGAUUUAUCGCCUUUGGAUUGGCCCGCGUUGGAUUAGGUAGUUGGUGGGGUAAUGGCCUACCAAGCCGACGAUCCAUAGCUGGUUUGAGAGGAUGAUCAGACACACUGGGACUGAGACACGGACCAGACUCCUACGGGAGGCAGCAGUGGGGAAUCUUAGACAAUGGGGGAAACCCUGAUCUAGCCAUGCCCCGUGAUCGAUGAAGGCCUUAGGGUUGUAAAGAUCUUUCAGGUGGGAAGAUAAUGACUGUACCACCAGAAGAAGCCCCGGCUAACUCCGUGCCAGCAGCCGCGGUAA
rnacentral:rRNA from 1 species